rnacentral:rRNA from 1 species
CCUACGGGUGGCAGCAGUGAGGAAUAUUGGUCAAUGGGCGCGAGCCUGAACCAGCCAAGUAGCGUGAAGGAUGACUGCCCUACGGGUUGUAAACUUCUUUUAUAAAGGAAUAAAGUGAGGCACGUGUGCCUUUUUGUAUGUACUUUAUGAAUAAGGACCGGCUAACUCCGUGCCAGCAGCCGCGGUAAUACGGAGGGUCCGAGCGUUAUCCGGAUUUAUUGGGUUUAAAGGGAGCGUAGAUGGGUUGUUAAGUUAGUUGUGAAAGUUUGCGGCUCAACCAUAAAAUUGCAAUUGAUACUGGAAGUCUUGAGUACAGUUAAGGUAGGCGGAAUUCGUGGUGUAGCGGUGAAAUGCUUAGAUAUCACGAAGAACCCCGAUUGCGAAGGCAGCUUACUAAACUGCCACUGACAUUGAUGCUCGAAAGUGUGGGUAUCAAACAGGAUUAGAUACCCCUGUAGUC